UAUUAAUAAUUAAUUUUUGAAAAUUAAUGAUAAUUGUUCAGAGUCCUAGGAAUGCCAAUGCCCACCUAGGCUUAGCUAGCAAAGUAGCAACAUACCCUCAUCACUGAUAUUAAUUGCAGUACUACUUAGUGCCAUAAUUGUCCAAGUCCUUGUUAGUUUUGAGAAACGUGUGUUUCUGAUUUUGUUAAAUCUCUUGUUUGGUUAACAAGAAAGCUAUUGCUUUAAUUUCUUUUGCAGCCAGAAGUGAAUGCAUACAGUAUGAUAUAAAUAUCGGGCAACUUGUUCAGAGUCAGUCACAAUCUAUUAACGAUAAUUGUUAAUUAUUAUUAUUAUUCAAAAAUUAAUU
rnacentral:lncRNA from 1 species